CACGUAGGGGGCAAGCGUUGUCCGGAAUCAUUGGGCGUAAAGAGCUCGUAGGCGGCUCAGUAAGUCGGGUGUGAAACCCCCAGGCUCAACCUGGGGACGCCACCCGAUACUGCUGUGGCUAGAGUCCAGUAGAGGAGUGUGGAAUUCCCGGUGUAGCGGUGAAAUGCGCAGAUAUCGGGAGGAACACCAGCGGCGAAGGCGGCACUCUGGGCUGGUACUGACGCUGAGGAGCGAAAGCGUGGGUAGCAAACAGG
rnacentral:rRNA from 1 species